GGAGAAUUAGCUCAGCUGGGAGAGCAUCUGCCUUACAAGCAGAGGGUCGGCGGUUCGAAUCUGCCCCCCUCCACCA
rnacentral:tRNA from 1 species